UCAGAUUGAAUGCUGACGGCGUGGAUGAGGCAUGCAAGUCGCACGAAUAGGGUGCAAAUCCUAUUGGUGGCGGAAGGGUUAGUAAUACAUGGGUGACUCACCCCUGACUUUGGAAUAACACCUGGAAACGGGUGCUAAUACCUAAUGAAGUGGGAGUUCAUAAAUGGCUUUUAUUAAAGCGGGGGAUCGAAAGACCUCGUGGUGAGGGAGAGGCCCAUGGGAUAUCAGCUAGUUGGUGAGGUAAUGGCUCACCAAGGCUAAGACGUCUAGGCGGAUUGAGAGAUUGACCGCCAACACUGGGACUGAGAACUGCCCAGACUCCUACGGGAGGCUGCAGUCGAGAAUCAUUCGCAAUGGGCGAAAGCCUGACGAUGCGACGCCGUGUGAGCGAUGAAGGCCUUCGGGUUGUAAAGCUCUUUCGCUUGGGAACAAGGGAGAAUAACUAACACUUAUCUAACUUGAGGGUACCAGGUAAAGAAGCACCGGCUAACUACGUGCCAGCAGCUGCGGUAAUACGUAGGGUGCAAGCAUUAAUCGGAAUUAUUGGGCGUAAAGGGCGCGUAGGCGGAUAGUCAAGUCGUGUGUGAAAUUUCGGGGCUCAACCUCGAAGCGGCACAGGAAACUCACUAUCUUGAGGGUAGACGGAGAGAACGGAAUUCCACAAGUAGCGGUGAAAUGCGUAGAUAUGUGGAAGAACACCGGUGGCGAAGGCGGUUCUCUAGUUUAUUCCUGACGCUGAGGCGCGAAAGCAAGGGGAGCAAACAGGAUUAGAUACCCUGGUAGUCCUUGCCUUAAACUAUGUAUACUUGAUGUAUCUGGACUCAACCCUAGAUGUGUCGAAGCUAACGCGAUAAGUAUACCGCCUGGGGAGUACGCUCGCAAGGGUGAAACUCAAAAGAAUUGACGGGGACCGCACAAGCGGUGGAGCAUGUGGUUUAAUUCAAUGCAACGCGAAGAACCUUACCCAGGCUUGACAUGCACUUGACCGGCUCAGAGAUGAGCCUUCUCUUCGGAGCAAGUGCACAGGUGCUGCAUGGCUGUCGUCAGCUCGUGCCGUGAGGUGUUUGGUUAAGUCCAGCAACGAGCGCAACCCUUAUCAUUAGUUGCCAACACGUGAAGGUGGGAACUCUAAUGAGACUGCCCGGGUUAACCGGGAGGAAGGUGAGGAUGACGUCAAGUCCGCAUGGCCCUUAUGUCUGGGGCUACACACGUGCUACAAUGGUCGGUACAAUGGGCAGCAAAAUCGUGAGGUGAAGCAAAUCCCGAA
rnacentral:rRNA from 1 species